AUUGAACGCUGGCGGCAGGCCUAACACAUGCAAGUCUAGCGAGCGGCGGACGGGUGAGUAAUGUCUGGGAAACUGCCUGAUGGAGGGGGAUAACUACUGGAAACGGUAGCUAAUACCGCAUACCCUCAGAUGUUCCCAGAUGUGAUUAGCUAGUAGGUGGGGUAAUGUCUCACCUAGGCGACGCUCCCUAGCUGGUCUGCGAGGAUGACCAGCCACACUGUAACGGAGACACGGUCCAGACUCCUACGGGAGGCAGCAUUGGGGAAUAGUGCACAAUGGGCGCAGGCCUGAUGCAGCCAUGCCGCGUGUGUGAAGAAGGCCUGAGGGUUGUAAAGUACUUUCAGCGGGGAGGCGUUACCCGCAGAAGAAGCACCGGCUAACUCCGUGCCAGCAGCCGCGGUAAUUC
rnacentral:rRNA from 1 species